AUCUUGGAGAUGAACCUAUUGACAUUGAGGAUUUGGUCAAUAUUGGAAGAAGAUUUGGGCCGUGCCCUUAUUACGUUUCUCGAGAGCUCCAUAAGGUUGUUGAUAUUUUGUUUGCACCUUAUAAUUAUCUCAUUGAUCGUGGUAUAGAAAAACUCUGAGUCUUGACUGGAACAACAGUGUACUGAUAUUUGAUGAGGCUCACAAUCUGGAAAGCAUAUGUGCAGAUGCAGCCUCAUUUGAAUUGCCUGGUGGACUAUUAUCUGCAUGCAUUUCCGAAGCUAAAAGUUGUACUGAUCUUGCUGUGGCAAGAAGGGAUGAAUCGAAUGACAAAUCUCACAAUCCAGAUAAUUUUGCUAUUCUUAGAGGUUAAAUCUAACUCGAAGUUUAUGGAUGGUCACUAUUAGCUGUUGUUUGAAUACAUUUCCACUUUAUCCAAAAAAUAUAUAUUUGCGAUGCCUAUUGUAACUUUGAACAUUUGUUGUAUCACGACUCCGGU